rnacentral:lncRNA from 1 species
AUAAUUUGCCCGGCUAAAUAUAAUUCAAUGAUUUAAAUUAGACAAUGAGAGCAAUCUUUACCCUUCAGUGCUCCGAAGCACCUUGAUUAUAACUGUUAUGUCAAUAUAAAUAUUACAAUCUCACCGGUGUAAAAUGUAAAAACAUGAAAUCCAAGAAUCACUAAAAUCUACUGUUUAACAUUUGAUUUUGUACAAAAUUGUUUUAAUUUAAAAUUAUCACACAUGCUUUAAUAUUAACCGUACACCAUCAUCAAACUUAUAAUGAUGAAUAAAUAUUUCAGGCCACUUCAUCUGUUCAUAUUUUGAUUUCAGAAGACAAAUAUUACUAUUAUGAGCUAGUGGGCAAGUGGGUGGAAUAUUGGUUCAGUUUUUCUUCUUAUAUGAAUGUUAAGGGAUGAAGUGUUUAUAUGAUACAGGAUUCAAUCUAUUAUUUGCUAACUUUUAUUUAUUCAUACACAAUGUUCAUCAAUAGAUAACAUUAAAAAACAAUUAAAUCUUAAAAAUAAAAAAUAUUGGAGAAGUAUCCUUUAGAGGGUAAGACAUAAGAAACAAAACCAUAUCUAAUGGCCUUAAAAACAUAAAGGAAAAAUUUAUGAUAACAUCAAACACCUCUUCUUGUCAUGGACGGUUUAUCUUAUUCUGGAUUUCUUAACAACUCUGAUGUAUGCAUUCAUUUAAAAUAAAUCAGAUAACAAACUAAAGCUUUUACCAAAGGGUUUCCAUGUAUACAAUUUAUUUACAAACAACUAAUAUGGAUUUUUCUUUUUAACCUGCAUAAAAUUUAAUCAAAUAAACAGUGACAUAUAAAACUUCUACAAUACAGUAGAUCUGAGAUGGCAUUCCUGUAAAUGGAGACAAAUUUUAAACAAACAAAAAAGAAGGGAUGUAUAUAUGAAAAAAACAUGUACAUCAUCUCCCUAACAUUUUUACAACUGUAUUUGAAAACAGACACAACUUCUUAAAUACACAUUUUAUUCCAUGAUGACACAUCUCAUCAGAAAACAUUCUCAAUUUAUAGCCACACACAAAAUUGAGAACAUGAGUUCAAAUAUGAGUGAUAUCAAUAAAAUAUAGCGAAAUCACAAAACAAAGAUAGUGGUAUAAAAUACCCAAAGAGUUGGUAAAAUUUCAAAUAUCUUUACAAAUGUCUAAAGCACUCUUUUUGCCUGAUAUUCAACAUCAAAUCAUGUAGAUAACAUUUGAAUGAUAUGUGGUGAGACGGCCUUGGAGUAGACAGUAAAAUAAGUUUGAUUUGUAAUAUGCUUAGCUCACAAAGUUUGCAUGAAGACAUGCUACCCUACCAUGAUAUGCAGGUAAUUUCUCCAGGUCACAGUGGCUUUAGUUUUCAAAUACUUUUAAAAUGCCUUAAUAUAUAACUUAUCAUGUACUAAAAGCAAUAGAGUACUCAUUUGAUUUAUCAGAC